AAAUUGAAGAGUUUGAUCAUGGCUCAGAUUGAACGCUGGCGGCAGGCCUAACACAUGCAAGUCGAACGGUAACAGGAAGCAGCUUGCUGCUUCGCUGACGAGUGGCGGACGGGUGAGUAAUGUCUGGGAAACUGCCUGAUGGAGGGGGAUAACUACUGGAAACGGUAGCUAAUACCGCAUAAUGUCGCAAGACCAAAGAGGGGGACCUUCGGGCCUCUUGCCAUCGGAUGUGCCCAGAUGGGAUUAGCUUGUUGGUGGGGUAACGGCUCACCAAGGCGACGAUCCCUAGCUGGUCUGAGAGGAUGACCAGCCACACUGGAACUGAGACACGGUCCAGACUCCUACGGGAGGCAGCAGUGGGGAAUAUUGCACAAUGGGCGCAAGCCUGAUGCAGCCAUGCCGCGUGUAUGAAGAAGGC
rnacentral:rRNA from 1 species